UAUCUCUUAAACGAGUGUUAUUGUGGGCCGGUACUAUUACUUUGAACAAAUUAGAGUGCUUAAAGCAGGCUUCAAAUGCCUGAAUAUUCUGUGCAUGGGAUAAUGAAAUAAGACCUCUGUUCUGCUUUCAUUGGUUUUCAGAUCAAGAGGUAAUGAUUAAUAGAAGCAGUUUGGGGCAUUAGUAUUACGACGCGAGAGGUGAAAUUCUUGGACCGUCGUAAGACAACUUAAGCGAAAGCAUUUGCCAAAGAUGUUUUCAUUAAUCAAGAACGAAAGUUAGAGGUUCGAAGGCGAUCAGAUACCGCCCUAGUUCUAACCAUAAACGAUGCCAGCUAGCAAUUGGGUGUAGCUACUUUUAUGGCUCUCUCAGUCGCUUCCCGGGAAACCAAAGCUUUUGGGCUCCGGGGAAGUAUGGUUGCAAAGCUGAAACUUAAAGGAAUUGACGGAAGGGCACCACCAGGAGUGGAGCCUGCGGCUUAAUUUGACUCAACACGGGAAAACUUACCAGGUCCGAACAUAAGUGUGUAAGACAGAUUGAUAGCUCUUUCUCGAAUCUAUGGGUGGUGGUGCAUGGCCGUUCUUAGUUCGUGGAGUGAUUUGUCUGGUUAAUUCCGAUAACGAACGAGACUCAAAUAUAUUAAAUAGAUAUCUUCAGGAUUAUGGUGCUGAAGCUUAUGUAGCCUUCAUUCAUGUUGCAGUAAAAUGCUUAUUGUGUUUGAAUGUGUUUAUGUAAGUGGAGCCGUACCUGUUGGUUUGUCCCAUUAUAAGGACACUAGCUUCUUAAAUGGACAAAUUGCGUCUAGCAAUAAUGAGAUUGAGCAAUAACAGGUCUGUGAUGCCCUUAGAUGUCCUGGCUGCACGCGCGCUACAAUGAAAGUAUCAACGUGUAUUUCCUAGACCGAGAGGUCCGGGUAAACCGCUGAACCACUUUCAUGCUUGGGAUUGUGAACUGAAACUGUUCACAUGAACUUGGAAUUCCAGUAAGUGUGAGUCAUUAACUCGCAUUGAUUACGUCCCUGCCCUUUGUACACACCGCCCGUCGCUACUACCGAUUGAAUUAUUUAGUGAGGUCUCCGGACGUGAUCACUGUGACGCCUUGCGUGUUACGGUUGUUUCGCAAAAGUUGACCGAACUUGAUUAUUUAGAGGAAGUAAAGUCGUAACAAGGUUUCCGUAGGUGAACCUGCGGAAG
rnacentral:rRNA from 1 species